ACAACUACGUAGAAGAGAAGGGAUUUACCCCAAUCCUGUAGCAUCCCCAACAGCAUUCCUCUGCAGAUCUCAUCCAAUCUCUCUUCCUGUUUUCCCUCCUAGCCCACAUAAGUGUAACGGAACUGGAAGGGCACACAAGGUACCAGUGCCAAACUUAGUGCUGUGGCCGACCCACUUCCCUGUGCAAAAGACAAAUGAAGAUAUAAGAUUUCUGAUGUGUGAGAGUGAAGAUGCACAGAGCCCAGAUGGUUAAGGAAACUCUGGAGGCAAUGGAGCAGAAAAGCACACAGACUCCCUUAUCCACUUUAAGCUUCAAAAAUCACUUUUGGGAAGACCCACCCAUAGGACAUGGACAGCUGGGUCCGUGGAGGAUUCAUUCAUGCUUUGUCUAUGGUGGUUUUGAUAAAGAUUUAUUUUC